CUAGAAAGGACCGUCAAACCCAACCAGUAGGGGGCAGCAGUCCGCAUUUGCAGAGUUCAGUCCGCCUAAAUGCAACAGAAAAGGAAGAAGGUAGAGGAAGAGGAGAGCACAGAAGAUAAACAGACAUGAAGAUGACGGAGGGCAACAGUCCUGUGGACUUAGAAAUAACAAUGGACGACGUUCAGAACCUCGUUAAAAAGAAAGAUAAUAUCGAGGAGCAGAUACAAGCUUAUUACGACGUCCUAGAAGACCAAGGUGUCGGAAUUGAAGGUCCGCUGGUUGACGCGGAGGGUUUCCCGAGAGCUGACGUCAAUAUAUACCAGAUCAGGACAGCGAGACACAGUAUUUCAUGCUUACAGAAUGAUCACAAGGCCAUCAUGGUAGAGAUAGAAGAAGCCCUGCACAAGCUCCACGCCCGAGAGAAAGCUAAGCGGGAGCAAGAUGAGGCGGAGGCCGGGGUGGAGGCGAUGGAGCAGCAGGUCACUCUGCCUCCUCCAUUUGCACGGGUGGAUGCCGUCACGCAAGGCUCACCGGCCUUUGGAGCUGGGCUCAAAAUUGGUGAUGGAGUCAUUGAGUUUGGUUCAGUGAACACAGGGAACUUUCAGAACCUCCAGAAUAUUGCUGCUGUGGUUCAACACAGUGAAGGGAAACCAUUACGUGUCUUAGUCGUCAGGGAUGGAGAGAGAGUCCAGAUGAGCCUGACUCCACAGCGAUGGUCUGGCAGAGGUCUGCUCGGUAAAGUUAACAGUAACUUUACCUCAGGCUCACGGUGAGCUUGCUGACCCCACCAUAUCGGAUUUACAUCCACAACGAUGACCAACAGAUUGACCUCUUCCUCUGCAGACAACAGUGACACAUUAAAGGACUCACAACGCCAAACGUACAAGAUACGACCUUACCUGAUGCCAUGAUCACAGCAGCAACACAAAGGAACACCGGAAAGCGAAAUAAAAGUUAUUGCCCUGGAGUUUUAUCUUCUGUUAGCCUCC